rnacentral:misc_RNA from 1 species
UCCUGGUUAACCCAGGCAGUCUCGCUAGAGUGCCCAGCCGAACUGCUGGCAACUAACGAUAUGGGUUGCGCUCGUUGCGGGACUUAACCCAACACCUCACGGCACGAGCUGACGACAGCCAUGCAGCACCUGUGCAGCGGUCCCGAAGGAAGACGCAAUUUCUUGCGCUGUCCACUGCAUGUCAAGCCCAGGUAAGGUUCUUCGCGUUGCAUCGAAUUAAACCACAUGCUCCACUGCUUGUGCGGGUCCCCGUCAAUUCUUUUGAGUUUUACCCUUGCGAGCGUACUCCUCAGGCGGCAUACUUAACACGUUAGCUACGGCACAGUCGGGGUUGAGACCAACUACACCAAGUAUGCAUCGUUUACAGCUAGGACUAC